rnacentral:rRNA from 1 species
AUUGAACGCUAGCGGGAGGCUUUACACAUGCAAGUCGAACGAGUGGCGGACGGGUGAGUAAUGUAUGGGAAGGUGCCUGGUGGCGGGGGAUAACUACUGGAAAGCGUGGCUAAUACCGCAUACCAUUGGAUGUGCCCAUAUCGGAUUAGCUUGUUGGUGGGGUAAAGGCUCACCAAGGCUACGAUCCGUAGCUGGUAUGCUAGGACGACCAUCCACACUGGAACUGAGACACGGUCCAGACUCCUACGUGAGGCAGCAGUGGGGAAUUUUGGACAAUGGGAGAAAGCCGGAUCCAGCCAUCCCGCGUGUAUGAUGAAGGCCGUCGGGUUGUAAAGUACUUUGAGCGGAGAAGCGUUACUUGCAGAAGAAGCACCGGCUAACUCCGUGCCAGCCGCCGCGGUAAUUC